UCUAUGGGUAAUCCCUAUCCGUUUAAUUCGCCGUCACACGGUGACCCUGUUGAGCACAACGAAGAGAUAUGGGCCAACGUUUUGGAUGGCUCAAUUUGAGCAGUUUAGGGCCAAGGUCGGGUGCAGGUGAAGAUGAGGUGAUUAAAUUCAAUGGGGAAACAGACUUUAACACAAGACCGGCUCGAUGGCAUUUAUCGGGAAACCCAAAGUUGCUGGAAACGGGCUGCGCUGGAGAAUUGACAUAGCUAGCUAACGCUAGUGUAAAAGAACAGAUAACCAAUGUUACUAGAUAAAUUACAGCAUAGUCUAAAGGAUAACGUUAACCUACGUCAAUACACGAAACCCUAACGCUAAAGCAGUUGGUAGCUAAUUUACAAAACUGCCACACUGGAGCUGCCAAUGUGCUAAUCGACGAGCUAACUAGCUAGCGAAAUGUGAAACCUAGUUUGAUUAGCGCACACCUGUGAUCUCCUCCAAAUUGGGAUUUGUGGCCUAAAGAGGAACAGCAAGAUUAGCUAAUCCCAUCUGCUCCUUGCCAUGGAAUUUAAUAUCGCUUUGCCAUCAAAGAAGAAAAAGAAGACACACCUUAAGUGUCGGAUUCUCCAGGAGUCAAUGUCGGAAUGUCUUGCAGCUUUUUCACCACUCUGGACCACUCAAAAUCUUCUUCGUACCUAAGAGAAAAUUGAUAGCCGGCCCCUGUUAACCGACAGGAAACUGAGUCCCAGUUCCCCCGGCCGGAAGGCUAUUGUGACUGACUUGUAAGAACAUUUUACUAGCUGCCUACCAUGUUAGCCAUUAGCUUGCCAACUACCAUAGUUUACGAUAGUUAAGCUCCACAGUGUGGAACAGAUGCACCAGAGUUGUGUCAUAAACAAUUUCCAGGUUAUCAUUUCUGCACAUCAUAUCUCCUCACAUGAUCGGUCAGAUCCAUUUUGCAUGAAGUAAGCAGCAUCCUGCUCUUAUGAAAGGCUCCCUAAACCACUGUGGGGUUGAGCCUGAAAAUGUAAUUAGUGCGACAGGAUGGUGUGCAGACAACGUCCAGCAUUAGGACUGGCUCACGCUCAAUUUAAUCCAUUUAGAUAGCUUUCACUCAGAGACUCCUGACGAGGCGAAGCAGAGAGCAUGAUGAAUAGCUAUUAGCAAAAGUUUUAGUUUUACUUUGAUUAAAGCCAAGUUCACUUUCUAGGUCAGGUCGAGUUCAUGUGUUCGUUAUUUUGUCCAUGGACUUGAAAUCUUUUGAUUUAAAAAACGUCAGUCUAUUCCAUUUAGUACACUUUGAGCUGAACGGGUAACAAGGUGACAGGAUGAUUGAGGCUGUCUUGUAAACUUCCUACUCACACAUACACUGAUCGAAUAUUGACCUCCUCACUGCUGUUUUGUCUACUCUGUAAAAACAGCACCUUUUAUGUGUUCAUUUGCCCUGAAAGAGGGAUCCUUCCUCUGUUGAUAUUCUUCUUCUUGCCCAUUUGUUUCGAAUCAAGAGUCUAGUAAUCGGGUAUGUCCUAAACUGUACAGAUUGUAAAGCUGUCAAAAAGACAAACUUGUAAUGUUGGGGCAUACGCUGUAGAUAAAAUGGACUUGACUAUAA